rnacentral:misc_RNA from 1 species
AAGUCGUAACAAGGUUUCCGUAGGUGAACCUGCGGAAGGAUCAUUAAUCGAAGGUUGCUGUCUCCCUUGGUUAAAGGAAAGGGACGGUAGCCAUAACAACUAAGGAGUUGAAGAGGGGACGGGUUCUCGGGCGGUAGGAAUAAAUCUUGCCGGUCGGGCAUUCGCUUCCACUCUCGCUCUACAUGACCGUGUUGAUGUAAGUAGAAUGCUUGGCGAAGGCGGCUGUCGGUUUGUGUGGUCGCAUGCAAUCGUAUCUCGUUCGGAGAGGAUUGACCUUUGCCAGUAUGCGUUGGUGUGCCCGUCAAAGGCGCGCACUGAUUGCGACAAAUUAGAUGCUUGCUGUGUGUAAUUAUUAAAAAUAAUAUACAAGAAAGCAUGUUUAAAAACAUUAACAAAAACAACUGUUGGCAACGGAUCACUCGGUUCUCA